GGAAACGUCAGAGCUAAGACCUGCAUUUUCGAGACGACGGGAAUGGAAAUAGCACCUCACAACCGAGGACUCCACGCUCGUUUUACAAAGACACAAUGCCGAUUCCAGCACCUUCCUUCUAAAAGCUUGGUUCCAUCACACUCGCUACUCUUGCUGAGUGACCACGAGAACAAACCCCCCGGGUGCCGACGGUCAGUCGGUGCCUGCCUAAGAGGUGGGUCCUGCUCCCUUUCCUGGAAGCACAGCAGCCGUGGACUUGCUCAGGGCCCGGGGAAAGCCUGCAACUAGAACCCAGCAGCUUCCGAGAGGAGGCAGCGCAUCCGGAGUCGAGGAGCAGGAGCAGCUGCCAAGGCAGAGGGUCAGUGACCGACGGUGACACAGGACAGCAGCCCCAGCAUGGCUCCAGGAGGACGCUGAGGACCGGGCCUGAAAGGCACAGAGGCUGAGGCUGUGUCUCUCUCCAGAACACACUCGGCCGGGCACCGGCAGGCACCAGAGGACGCCUGGGUGCCCCCUGCUUCUUGGGUUAGAGGGGCCUGCCCUCGGCCACUCCCCAGGACUGUUCCCACAGCUCCAGAGUUCAAAGGCGCCCCGGGCCCGACACAAGCACCCAGUUCUGUCAAGUGGUGCCAGCCAGCCAGUGUGCACCGCAUGCCCUGGCCCGGCGGGGCAGGUGUUCUGGGAUCAAGCCACGGUUCUAAGGACCUCGCAGGCUCAGAAAGACCGAACGAGGUUGGCCUCACCAUCGAGUUCCUGGAGACAUGGGGGGUGGGGGUGGGGGGUGUCAAUAUUUGGUGUUUUAGCUUUAACUCUGAACUGCUUCAGUCGGAGGAAGAUGUAAACAGGAGAUACCUCGGCUGCUCUACCCGCCUGCCUGAGGAGGGGAUGGGGCGGGGGCCGGACUCCACCCUUCGGUCACACCUCCAAGGGCUUUCCGAGAUGCGACACGGGACAUUCUCACACCAACACGAAGAUAGAAGAGGGUUAACAAAAGCGCAGGUAACCCUCAGCUCCCUCAUCUUACUGAUCUUUCUUGAAUGCAAAGACGGCCCCACCCCAGGGCUCCGGAGUCAGGCGUGCAAAAAUCACGGGUCCAUCCGGGUCCAAAAGUUUGCAUCACUAACACGAGGAAGGGCCAUUGGGUAGCGGCCCCCGAACAACCCUGUGAGACUCUGGCUGAAGACGAGGCCGCCUCAGAGGGGACUCCAGCAGCCCUGGAAGCAGACUGGCACACGUGGUGGGCAACCCCCCCAGCGUCCAUGCUGCUUGGGGUGCGUGCCUGUGUCUACACCACAGCGUGACUGCGGGAAGGCCUCGAAGGACACUUAAAGCGCACCGGGUGGCCUGCAGACAGCAGCACCCAAGGCAAGGACCGCCGCGGAGACUGCACCUGGCACCUCCCCGGCCCGCGGCGAGGUCUGCCCAGCGUCCAGGGCAGCGGAGCCGGCUCCACCCACCUGGGCGUUUGUGACGCGUCAUGCCCACCUGUCCACGCAGGAGCGCACUGCGCAGGCGCCCUGGAGCAGAGGCUCGCCUUCCAAAGAUGAGAGCGGUGAGGAAGCCAGAGGGAAGACACGGAGGAGGCAGAGGGUGACAGUGACCGGCCCACCGCAGCGCGUGGGCGGAGGACAUUUCUGGCAGCAAGUGGUUAAUCACACGUGAAGACACGCCCUCCCAGGACGGCCUCCGACAGCGCGAACUCCCGCUGCCAGGUGCCGCCCUGGACCCUGUGUCCCUUUCAAACAAAGGGCCUUGGAUUUGAAGAGAACAUUUUGCUUUCAAACCUUGGAUCACUGUAAAGUUUGGAGUGACAAUAACUCAAGGUUCCCACGCCAAAGGUCAAUGACGUCGGCAUCGCGUUUUGAAACCAUGCAGUCCACGCAGCAUGCGCACGAGCGUCAGUGUGUGAGCACCUUUGCGGUUUCCGAGCGUACAAAAGAGGGGACAGCAAGGAAGGGCCAUUUGCAACCCAGUCGUAAGGAAAGCGGGAGCAAAAAGGGCAUUCUUCGGGCAAAAAGGAAAGUGAAAAGCCAGGAAGGCAGCUCGUCUCCAGGUCCGGCCGCCCCACGGCCCCGCCGCGGACAGUGCAGAGGCCCUCUCGUUUCACGCCUGCUGCUGGCCACUCAGAGGGCUAGACGCGCGGAGCUGGGCGGCCCUGACAGCAGGGGAUGGAGGGGACUGCCCGUGGGUCACAGUAUGGCACACGGUUUUCAAGCCAGAACCGGACAGAGAGAUAGAUGUUCACAAUUCAGUUUAUUCAGGCAACGUUUUGGCUAUUUUCAGUGUGGAUAGCUCCGCUGAAAAGCAAACGUGAAACUAUUGAGAAUUCAGAGGUAGCCUUUAUCUGCAUUUAUUUUUAAUCUAAAAGGUAUUUAGAAACCAGCUUCUGUAGUGAUAUGGCUGAGCCAAUACAUUCACUUUAGACACUAAAAUGGCAAAACAUCCAAAAAAGCAUUAAGGGAGGGCACGGAGAUGGCACCAACGUGACAGUCACACACACUCGGGUGAACGGUUUGGGUGUAAAGGCCCCUUUGUGUGUCUGAUGCUGGGCUGCCUGACCACAAACAGAGCGACACCCUGUGGGCUGGAGACACACUUCAAAUCUGGCAAAUGGCAAGGCCGAGAGGAACAGCACUGGACUUGAGGUCUGCCCAGCAUCUAUGGGCUAAGCCACAAAGGAUGGGUCUGACCCCACAGCGACCUCAUGGCUUUAGUAUGACGGCUGACCCAAGAGAAGCCAGGGAGGCCCCAGCUCUCUAGGAACAUGGGCCAUUCAGACGCUUCCUGCCCACGCUGUCAAAUGCUGGACGGAGCUCGAAGCAAAACGCUUUAGGGAGUCACGGCAAAUGACAAGGAAGCCAACAGACCAAAAGUGUUCCACGGAGUGACAGUGACUCCUCUUAGCAUGAACCCUUCGGACGGCAGGGAGCGCACGCUCUCUCCUUCCAGAAGACGGCAACUUGCUUUCAGGGAAAGACAGCAAGGACGAGGAGGCUCGACUGUCCUUCGUGCCUGGUCAGCAGACACGGCUGGAGAGGGGAAGGGCGGCGCCGGUCCACGAGCUCCGGCGCAAAAUGCUGAGCAGACGCGGCGGUCUCGCGAAACAAAGCAACGCGCUGCGGUCACGUCAUUUCUGCUAUCCUACCUCUAUUUACAAUCGUGUCAAACGGGUACAGCAGAGGCCAAGUUGGACGUGAUAAAAAAGCAAGCUGUCACAAAAUCAGUGCAAUUAUUUUGAGUUGAGAGUUUUCCUUACCAAAAGUUUCAGUGUGUGUGUAACACGGACACAGCCCUAUCACAAAGUCACAAGUGCACUUGCCUACACUGAACAACGUCACAGCAGCCAAAACUGCUGGCACGGCAGCCAGAGAGAGAUUCAUGGUUGCUUUGGGGGGAGGGCUGAAGAUACAAACACCAUAUUCGCAUCUGCAAGUGAGGGGCACGAACACUGAGGAAGUUUCUACCUACUGUACAUUCCUUUUCUCAGGAGCGUGAGAGAUGAGUGAGCGGAGGUCACAGGAAAAUGUCUAUGGCUUGUCUGGGCCACUGGGAUUGUCCACUGUCUGGAUUACGUCAACGUCUAAAGCUCCCAACGGAACUUCCUUAAGAGGUGUAGGAAAAUGCCCAUGAAAAAUCUUCCUAACUGCCCAAGAGAUCAAAGUCCCACUGAAGAAGCCCAUCUGGAUGCUGACAGACGGCUCGGUGGGACAAGCCCCGUGCGUCCACAAUGCGGAGCGACCGAGAGAAGCCAGCCCAGCCUCCCAAGGCCUCCUGGAGACAGUCUGGUGUCCCAACUGCACGGCGCUUGGCUGGUCUGCCCUUAACAUAUUGUAUCAAAUAUAUAAUCUGACUGAAAAACUGCCUUGUAAAAAUAAAAUUUAAAUCACCCUGCAGAUCAAUGUAAAAUUACACUGCUGCAUUUAUAAGAAAAACAAUUCAUCCAGAAAAACUACAUUUGUGGCUUUCAAAAAUAAAUCAUCCAGCAAACUCGAGGGUAAACAUCGGGUAAUUUAUAAAAGUUGGGGAAAAUAAUUUCUGUCAUAUCCGUCAGGUACCAUGUGCACUGGACUGUCCACACUAGCCAAAUCAAACCAGAGCAAAAAGGGAAAAUAAAUAGUAACAUCUGCCUUGAACAACAAUAAAAUAACAUAUAACACUGAGACCUGCCCCCCCCCCCACGCCCCACCUGCUAUAGGAACUGAACUGAAUUUGUCUUUUCUGAUGAGCACUUGAUAGGGUAUAAACAGCAGUCACAGAGCUGGAUCCGGCCAACCUCAAACGCACGGAAUUUGCCGUUUCCAGCAGCUCCCUCGUGGGGAGCCCAUGGUUCUCGGUGCAUACACUGAUCGCGGAGUGUGAGAACACGCCAACGAGCCACACGAUCUUGAGAAGAAAAAGCAGACCCUAAAAUGCAGUGUCAAGUGUGUAUGCGAAGACGUCUUCAGACGGGAAACCAAACCCAAAUACAAAACAGUCCCUUUCUAAAAGUACAAGUAUGCCCAGUUUCACAACAUUUAUCUGAGCUUAUAAUAAGUCCACAAACAGCAGGAUGGAACCUCAGCAGGGCCAAAGAGUUCUCCUACAAAGGGGCCGCGUGAGGCAGCUCCCUGGCCUCUUCCGUCACUUAGCUAGUAGGGCGAGAGCUCUAGUGGUGAGAGGAUGGGAACACGUUAGUUUUGCUCACAGUGAGUAUUUUAAAACACACUAGGAAGAGUUCCAGCAUAACAGCUACUUGGGAGACCUCUUUUUCUGUCUGCUUUUUUUUUUGUUUUUUGUUUUUUGUUUUUUUUGUUUUUUUGCUUUUUAGGGCCACACCCGUGGCACAUGGAGGUUCCCAGGCUAGGGGUCGACAUGGAGCCACAGCUGCCGGCCUACGCCAGAGCCACGGCAACACUGGUUCCGAGCCACGUCUGCGACCUACACCACAGCUCACGGCAACGCCGGAUCUGUGAACCACCAAGCAAGGCCAGGGAUCGAACCUGCCACCUCAUGGUUCCGAGUCGGAUUCGUUUCCUCUGCGCCACGACGGGAACUCCUGGGAGACCUCUUUUAAAGAGAGAAAUCCCAGUUUUUCUUUGAAAGGAAUCCAGAUUUCCACGCCACAAUUUUCACAUUUUCACAUUCAGUACGCUU
rnacentral:lncRNA from 1 species